AGUGGCACCAAAUCAGGCUGGAGGCAGCAAUGCCAAUAGACGAAUCUCUUCCAUUUCUGCAGUAUCAGUAGUGCUGGAGGAAACACAAGAUAGAAGAACGGUGUCUCCCAAGGAGUGGUUGCCCAAACCCUCUUGAGCAGAAACGAGGACACUUUCUGUUCCUGGAACUCUUGCAGCCCCCAUCUUUGGAAUAUACUAUGCAGAACUUUGGUGUUUAGCUCCCAUUUGUAAUCCUGUGAGAAGUGUCUGCUGAAGAUAUCGGGUGUGGUGUUCUGAAUACCUGUGAGGUAGACUGCUGAAAUUUGCAUCUGAUGAGCUAUGCACAAAUCCCAUAGUUUCAUAGCUUCAGUGUACGGAGAGGAGAAUCUCACUCCUCCCUACCUGUUGAUAAAAAACAUGCAGGUUACAUUGUC